rnacentral:miRNA from 2 species
UGGACUGCCCUGAUCUGGAGA